rnacentral:rRNA from 1 species
CUACGGGAGGCAGCAGUGGGGAAUCUUGCACAAUGGGGGAAACCCUGAUGCAGCGACGCCGCGUGAGCGAUGAAGCCCUUCGGGGUGUAAAGCUCUUUCGGCAGGGACGAUGAUGACGGUACCUGCAGAAGCAGCUGCGGCUAACUACGUGCCAGCAGCCGCGGUAAUACGUAGGCAGCAAGCGUUGUUCGGAGUUGCUGGGCGUAAAGGGUGCGUAGGCGGUCCCUUAAGUUUGGUGUGAAAUCUCCCGGCUCAACUGGGAGGGUGCGCCGGAUACUGAGGGACUAGAGUGCGGGAGGGGAGAGUAGAAUUCCCGGUGUAGCGGUGAAAUGCGUAGAUAUCGGGAGGAAUACCGGUGGUGUAAACGGCUCUCUGGACCGUAACUGACGCUGAGGCACGAAAGCGUGGGUAGCAAACAGGAUUAGAUACCCUUGUA